rnacentral:other from 1 species
AAAUACCUGAAGGAUUAGAUAACUAUAUUUAAAACCGACAAAGAUAUAUUUAGGGAAUCUAAAACGAAGUAUGUGUUGAAAGCUUACUAUAAGUAAGAAUCCUAAUUACUUUGUGGUGAUUACCCACCUGUGUGAUUAGGCGCGGGUUUUAUCUCUUUAGUAUCGGUUCUUUGGGUAACCA